UAAAUACUCCCUCCGUCCCAAAAUUCUUGUCUUAAAUUUGUUUAGAUAUAAAUGUAUCUAGUCACGUUUUAGUAUUUAGAUACAUUCAUUUCUAGACAAGCUUAAGACAAGAAUUUCGGGACGGAGGGAGUACAUU
rnacentral:pre_miRNA from 1 species